rnacentral:rRNA from 1 species
AUGUGGUUUAAUUCGAUGCAACGCGAAGAACCUUACCUGGUCUUGACAUCCACAGAAGAAUCCAGAGAUGGAUUUGUGCCUUCGGGAACUGUGAGACAGGUGCUGCAUGGCUGUCGUCAGCUCGUGUUGUGAAAUGUUGGGUUAAGUCCCGCAACGAGCGCAACCCUUAUCCUUUGUUGCCAGCGGUUAGGCCGGGAACUCAAAGGAGACUGCCAGUGAUAAACUGGAGGAAGGUGGGGAUGACGUCAAGUCAUCAUGGCCCUUACGACCAGGGCUACACACGUGCUACAAUGGCGCAUACAAAGAGAAGCGACCUCGCGAGAGCAAGCGGACCUCAUAAAGUGCGUCGUAGUCCGGAUUGGAGUCUGCAACUCGACUCCAUGAAGUCGGAAUCGCUAGUAAUCGUGGAUCAGAAUGCCACGGUGAAUACGUUCCCGGGCCUUGUACACACCGCCCGUCACACCAUGGGAGUGGGUUGCAAAAGAAGUAGGUAGCUUAACCUUCGGGAGGGCGCUUACCACUUUGUGAUUCAUGACUGGGGUGAAGUCGUAACAAGGUAACCGUAGGGGAACCUGC